UGCGCUGAGCGAUGCUUAACACAUGCAAGUCGAACGGUGAAGCCAAGCUUGCUUGGUGGAUCAGUGGCGAACGGGUGAGUAACACGUGAGCAACCUGCCCUGGACUCUGGGAUAAGCGCUGGAAACGGCGUCUAAUACUGGAUAUGAGCUCUCAUCGCAUGGUGGGGGUUGGAAAGAUUUUUCGGUCUGGGAUGGGCUCGCGGCCUAUCAGCUUGUUGGUGAGGUAAUGGCUCACCAAGGCGUCGACGGGUAGCCGGCCUGAGAGGGUGACCGGCCACACUGGGACUGAGACACGGCCCAGACUCCUACGGGAGGCAGCAGUGGGGAAUAUUGCACAAUGGGCGGAAGCCUGAUGC
rnacentral:rRNA from 1 species